rnacentral:rRNA from 1 species
GACGAACGCUGGCGGCGUGCUUAACACAUGCAAGUCGAACGGGAUUUAGUAGACAGAAGCCUCGGCUAAAGAUUACUAAUGAGAGUGGCGAACGGGUGAGUAACGCGUGAGCAACCUGCCUAUGACAGUGGGAUAGCCUCGGGAAACCGGGAUUAAUACCGCAUAAAAUCGUAGAAACACAUGUUUUAACGGUCAAAGAUUUAUCGGUCAUAGAUGGGCUCGCGUCUGAUUAGCUAGUUGGUGAGAUAACAGCCCACCAAGGCGACGAUCAGUAGCCGGUCUGAGAGGAUGAGCGGCCACAUUGGAACUGAGACACGGUCCAAACUCCUACGGGAGGCAGCAGUGGGGAAUAUUGCACAAUGGGGGAAACCCUGAUGCAGCGACGCCGCGUGAACGAAGAAGGUAUUCGUAUCGUAAAGUUCUGUCCUAUGGGAAGAUAAUGACAGUACCAUAGAAGAAAGCUCCGGCUAACUACGUG